UACAGAGGUCUCAAGCGUUGUUCGGAUUCAUUGGGCGUAAAGGGUGCGUAGGCGGCGAGGUAAGUCGGAUGCGAAAUCCCGGGGCUCAACCCUGGAACUGCAUUCGAUACUGCCUUGCUCGAGGACUCGAGAGGAGAUUGGAAUUCACGGUGUAGCAGUGAAAUGCGUAGAUAUCGUGAGGAAGACCAGUGGCGAAGGCGGAUCUCUGGAGAGUUCCUGACGCUGAGGCACGAAGGCCAGGGGAGCAAACAGG
rnacentral:rRNA from 1 species